UACAGAGGUGGCAAGCGUUGUUCGGAAUUACUGGGCGUAAAGGGCGCGUAGGCGGCCUUCUAAGUCAGACGUGAAAUCCCCAGGCUUAACUUGGGAACUGCGUCUGAUACUGGGAGGCUUGAGUGCGGGAGAGGGAUGUGGAAUUCCAGGUGUAGCGGUGAAAUGCGUAGAUAUCAGGAGGAACACCCGUGGCGAAAGCGGCUCUCUGGGACGGUACUGACGCUCAGGCGCGAAAGCGUGGGGAGCAAACAGG
rnacentral:rRNA from 1 species